GACGAACGCUGGCGGCGUGCUUAACACAUGCAAGUCGAACGGAAAGGCCCUGCUUUUGUGGGGUGCUCGAGUGGCGAACGGGUGAGUAACACGUGAGUAACCUGCCCUUGACUUUGGGAUAACUUCAGGAAACUGGGGCUAAUACCGGAUAGGAGCUCCUGCUGCAUGGUGGGGGUUGGAAAGUUUCGGCGGUUGGGGAUGGACUCGCGGCUUAUCAGCUUGUUGGUGGGGUAGUGGCUUACCAAGCCUUUGACGGGUAGCCGGCCUGAGAGGGUGACCGGCCACAUGGGGACUGAGAGACGGCCCAGACUCCUACGGGAGGCAGCAGGGGAGAAUAUUGCACAAUGGGCGGAAGCCUGAUGUAGCAACGCCGCGUGCGGGAUGACGGCUUUCGGGGUGUAAACCGCUUUCGCCUGUGACGAAGCGUGAGUGACGGUAAUGGGUAAAGAAGCACCGGCUAACUACGUG
rnacentral:rRNA from 1 species